AGGCGUCGAGCGGCGGACGGGUGAGUAACGCGUAGGAAUCUACCCAGUAGAGGGGGAUAGCCCGGGGAAACUCGGGCUAAUACCGCAUACGCCCUACGGGGGAAAGCGGGGGAUCUUCGGACCUCGCGCUAUUAGAUGAGCCCAAGUCGGAUUAGCUUGUUGGUGAGGUAAAGGCUCACCAAGGCGACGAUCCGUAGCUGGUCUGAGAGGACGAUCAGCCACACUGGGACUGAGACACGGCCCAGACUCC
rnacentral:rRNA from 1 species